rnacentral:rRNA from 1 species
AGAUUGAACGCUGGCGGCAGGCCUAACACAUGCAAGUCGAGCGGUAACGCGGGGCAACCUGGCGACGAGCGGCGGACGGGUGAGUAACGCGUAGGAAUCUACCUGGUAGUGGGGGAUAGCCCGGGGAAACUCGGAUUAAUACCGCAUACGCCUUAAGGGGGAAAGCAGGGGAACUUCGGUCCUUGUGCUAUCAGAAGAGCCUGCGUUGGAUUAGCUAGUUGGUAGGGUAAAGCCUACCAAGGCGACGAUCCAUAGCUGGUCUGAGAGGAUGAUCAGCCACACUGGGACUGAGACACGGCCCAGACUCCUACGGGAGGCAGCAGUGGGGAAUAUUGGACAAUGGGGGCAACCUGAUCCAGCCAUGCCGCGUGUGUGAAGAAGGCCUUGGGUUGUAAAGCACUUUAAGUGGGAGGAAGGGUGAAAGCUAAUACCUUUCAUCAUUGACGCUACCCACACGAAUAAGCACCGGCUAACUCUGUGCCGAGCAGCCGAC